ensembl:rRNA 5S_rRNA 5S ribosomal RNA
GUCUACGGCCAUACCACCCUGAACGCGCCCGAUCUCGUCUGAUCUCGGAAGCUAAGCAGGGUCGGGCCUGGUUAGUACUUGGAUAGGAGACCGCCUGGGAAUACCGGGUGCUGUAGGCU